GAUGAACGCUAGCGGCAGGCCUAAUACAUGCAAGUCGAACGGUGUCUUCGGACAUAGUGGCGCACGGGUGCGUAACACGUAUGCAACCUACCUUACAUUGGGGGAUAGCCUUUCGAAAGGGAGAUUAAUACCGCAUAAGACAGUAGCUGGGCAUCCAGCAGCUGUUAAAGAUUUAUCGAUGUAAGCUGGGCAUGCGUCCAAUUGGCUAGUUGGUGAGGUAACGGCUCACCAAGGCAAUGAUUGGUAGGGGAACUGAGAGGUCAAUCCCCCACACUGGCACAGAGAUACGGGCCAGACUCCUACGGGAGGCAGCAGUAGGGAAUAUUGGGCAAUGGACGCAAGUCUGACCCAGCCAUGCCGCGUGCAGGAUGAAGGCGUUAUGCGUUGUAAACUGCUUUUAUACAGGAAGAAACGACUCUUGCGAGAGGCAUUGACGGUACUGUAUGAAUAAGCACCGGCUAACUCCGUGCCAGCCGCCGCCGUAAGAC
rnacentral:rRNA from 1 species